ensembl:lncRNA
CUAUCUGGGACUCCUUGCUCUCUCGCAGAGCCUCCGUGGGCCCUCGUCCCCUGUACGGCGCUUACUCUGUUACGUGCAGGGCUGUUGGCCUGUUUCUAAGUCCAUCUACAGCGCGAGGCUGAGCACCCUUUCCUGGUAAGGAUGGCAACCGAGGGGCCCAGCUCCCGACAGGGCAUUUAAAAAUGUGGCCCACUUGCCCUGUUCUCAGAACUUUACCUUAAACUCGUGCAAUAAGAUUGAGAGGGUGAACGAAUGAGUGAGUGAGGAAUGAAUGAGGCCCCACCAGGGGGCGACGGCACUUUGCCACGGAGCCCUGGGCGGGGGAGGAGACAGGAAAGCUGCUUUCCCAUCGCCCCCUCCUCUGCGGGUCUCGGCGCCCCCCUUCCCAGCCCCACCAGGGAAUCGCCUCGCCCCGCCCGCCCCCUCCGCGCCUCAGAUAAUUAACUCGAACCAAUAAAACGCUGAUUGCGGCGCCUUUGUGCGCGCCGCCUCGGCAUUGUCAUGGAAAACGGGGUCCCCUCCCCAGCCGGGCUGCCCGCAGCUGGCCCGGAGUCGGCCCGAGCCACCUGGACGAGACCAGGGGACCCCCAAGCCGUCCGGCGCCCCGUCCAUCUGCUCCCCACCCCCACCGUCAGCUGCGGACCCCGCCGGGCCGGGGAGAGCGGGCGAGGGCUUCCAGCCGCGCCUCCGGGGCCAGCACCUCUCCCCUCCCGCGCCGCCCCGCCGGGCCCGAGCGGAGCGCGCAUCCCGGAUCCCGGAUCCCGGAUCCCGGGCCACGCGACUGGGGUCUGUCCUUCUUAGAGACCGCGGUGGAGGUGUGUUCCCGGGGAGGGAGUAACAAUAGCGGUGAGAAGCCAGAGUACCGAGGGAAAUGGUGGGAAAGCCCCUCACGCACGCACCAUUCUAUUCCUGGUCCCCCACAUAGCCUUACAGAAAUAUUCUAUCCCCGCCGGGCCCGAGCGGAGCGCGCAUCCCGGAUCCCGGAUCCCGGAUCCCGGGCCACGCGACUGGGGUCUGUCCUUCUUAGAGACCGCGGUGGAGCCUUACAGAAAUAUUCUAUCCCCGCCGGGCGCGGUGGCUCACGCCUGUAAUCCUAGCACUUUGGGAGGCCGAGACGGGCGGAACACCUGAGGUCCGGAGUUCGAGACCAGCCUGAGUCAAUAUGGAGAAACCUCAUCUCUGCUUAAAAUCCCCAAAAAAUUAGCUGGAUGUAGUGGCGCAGGCCUGUAAUCCCAGCUACUCGGGAGGCUGAGGCAGGAGAAUCGCUUGAGCCCGAGAGGCAGAGGUUGCGGAACCUGAGAUCGUGCCAUUGCACUCCAGCCUUGGCAACAAGAGCGAAACUCCGUCUCAAAAGAAAGAGAGAAAGAUAUUCUGUUAUGUGUGUGUGUAUAUACAUGCGACAAAUAACACAAGAAAACGAGUUGGACAUAACCAAUUUAAACAACGGGCUUCGGUUUUUGAAUUUGUUUUACAAGAUUGUUUCCCCUUCAUCCUCACCCUCCACGGCUGUCAGUUUAGGGGGUAUUUCCCCAGAGAGUUUUCUCCGCACGCACACUCAUAAAUGUGUCUGCACAUACACACGUAUUAAGCUGGAUAGAAUCCCGCGCUAUUAGCUAUGGGUCACUUUAUUUUACCUGACAAGUAAGGUAGGGAUCUUUUCAUGGCGUGGUUGCUGAGGAAAGAGACUGCCAUAGCCCUCCUGCUGCCUGCCCACACCUCAGCUCCCGCCCGGGACCUUCAGCCUGGGUGUGCCCUGCCAUCAGUCCUGUGUGCCUGUUCACCACCCGCUUUCAUCUGUGGAUAGAGGCUCUGCUCCUGCGUUCCUGUGUGAAUGGGUG